AGAUUGAACGCUGGCGGCAUGCCUAACACAUGCAAGUCGAACGGGAGUAGCAAUAACUCUAGUGGCGGACGGGUGAGGAAUACGUAGGAAUUUGCCCUUAAGUGGGGGAUAACCCGGGGAAACCCGGAUUAAUACCGCAUGACCUCGAAAGAGCAAAGUGGGGGAUCGCAAGACCUCACGCUUUUGGAGAAGCCUACGUCGGAUUAGCUAGUUGGUGAGGUAAUGGCUCACCAAGGCGACGAUCCGUAACUGGUCUGAGAGGAUGAUCAGUCACACCGGAACUGAGACACGGUCCGGACUCCUACGGGAGCAGCAGGUGGGGAAUA
rnacentral:rRNA from 1 species